rnacentral:rRNA from 1 species
ACGCGAAGAACCUUACCUGGUCUUGACAUCCACGGAAGUUUUCAGAGAUGAGAAUGUGCCUUCGGGAACCGUGAGACAGGUGCUGCAUGGCUGUCGUCAGCUCGUGUUGUGAAAUGUUGGGUUAAGUCCCGCAACGAGCGCAACCCUUAUCCUUUGUUGCCAGCGGUCCGGCCGGGAACUCAAAGGAGACUGCCAGUGAUAAACUGGAGGAAGGUGGGGAUGACGUCAAGUCAUCAUGGCCCUUACGACCAGGGCUACACACGUGCUACAAUGGCGCUUACAAAGAGAAGCGACCUCGCGAGAGCAAGCGGACCUCAUAAAGUGCGUCGUAGUCCGGAUUGGAGUCUGCAACUCGACUCCAUGAAGUCGGAAUCGCUAGUAAUCGUGGAUCAGAAUGCCACGGUGAAUACGUUCCCGGGCCUUGUACACACCGCCCGU